rnacentral:lncRNA from 1 species
GCAAAACAAUUUACUCAACAUCGUAUAUUUGGGCGAAAUUGUUCCAAAAUACAAAAAAUCCAUACAUAAUUGCCAAUUAUAUUAGUGGAAAAACAGAGGCAAACAUUGCUCAUUGCUCGGCUACCAAAUUAUUUGUCCCCGUGAAAAAAUAGAUGGCGAAGGGAGCAACUGGGUAUGAUAAAGCUAUGAAGUACGGAGUACAAACCAAGUACAAAAUACUAUUUUGCUACUUUACCAGUUAAACUCUGCAAGUGUUUAUACUCUAUACUAGUAACCUAGAAUAAACUAAACAACAAUUAGAGUUAUGAUUCAAUACCACACUCACCAAGGUGAAACUUUCAUGCUCAAAUCUGUAAACUUCUUAAGUAUCUAUCUUUUGUUAUCUAUUGAUUAUUGCACAAUUGAAUAAUAUAAAUACAAGACCCAUUCUUCCUGAAGAAUCUGAACUACCAAUGACAAUGGAGAGUGUUUACCGCAAAAAAAAGACAAUGGAGAGUGUUACAAAACUACAGAUAACUAAUAAACAGUCUGGUAACGUAAAAACUGCCAGUAUCUUGUCUCCAAAUACCAAUAAAGGAGCAUAGUUCAACUUAAUACGACCACAGAUUAUACAAUUGACCAAUGAAACAAAUAGUGAACUUGUUAUAUGUGAACAACUCCAGCAUAGACCAUGCGACGCCCCAAUCCCCACCCACGACGGCCAGCCAAUCGCCUUGCGCGUAAGGAACCAGCCAACCAGCAACUGGCGCAGUUCGCCCCACUUGGUGACGCGGACGCGAGCGCACGACGCGCACUGAACGGCAGCUCUACAAACGAGUGGUCCCAUCGGUCAUGCACUGCAACAACCAGCAUGCGUGUGAAAAAAAAACGAAUGGCUGUACAGCCAACAAACAAUUAAACCUAUGAGCAGUAACUCAAUCAAACGGCCCUAGAUCAAAACGCGAGCAGGAGACCUUCUAUAGCCGGUUUGCCCUCUGCACUAUUCAUAGCGACGUGGAGCCAUCGGUUGUGCGUAGCAACCCCUUCAUCCUAUAUUUUUGUUAUUGUUGUAUGAUAGCUCUGCCUGACUGAACCUAUAUUCACGUUUUUAAAGAUUAUUAUUCAUGUAUGAUAGCUCUGCCUGACUGGUUUGUCCUCUCCUACUCUACAAGGGGCAUGAACAAUCUAAAAGAAAACAUAAGCUUAUAGCGAGGGAACUAUUUCAGAUCAUACAAACAACAUGAAAUUUUACCAAAUUACUCACCAGCGAGAAGGUCGCCACUUCAUGUUGUUUAACAGCGCCUGUAAGUCACGAAGUUAACCUGCAAAACAGACAAUACCAAUGGCAACAUCACUUCCCAAACCAAAUGACAGAGCAAGUGGUGCGGGUGGUAAUCUACAGGAAGUUGCGCGCAAAAAAGAAAUUGCGAACAAAGAAAAUAAGAAGAGACACUGCUGAGUCUGAGCAGGUGGUGAACACUGAUGCGGCAGCUCUGAAGACCGUUGUCCGUGAGCACUAUACCUCUGUCGAAGUUCUUGCAGUGUAACUGAAUAUUGCAAGCCCAGCCACACACAUAAAAUAAAACUAUAUUGGCACUGACGAUGAAGGCUCACACCAGGGUAAUAAGAUGUUGUUGGCAAUUUGGCAUACAAUCUGAGAACGGACACAUAACAAUCUUUUUUACCAGAGUGGUUUCGACAGUAACUAUAUUUAUCUCAAGGUCCCAGCUCGCUCGUAUAGGACGAGGACGACACAGACAAUGGAGAUCGAAGCAAUGCAAUCGCAUGGAUUAUCUUCGACAAGUUCUAUGCACCAAGGUAGAAAUAUCAAUGGCAAUACCAUCAACCAAAGACAACACCAGAUACAUAACCAAUUAGUACCAACACCUAAUCUGUAGUCUGUACUCCGAAGUGUAUGGAUAUAUCAAUCAAAAGCCAUUCCUCAUAGUGUGUUGUUAUAAGUUCUACCAGAAUUGAAAAGGGUAGAUUCAUGGUGAGCCUUAUGUCAUUUGCGCCCCAAAAGGGCCACCUUGGCAAUCAAGAACCACAAGUGGUAGCAUCAAAGGGGCUAAAAAAAUUGGGCCAGGGCAUGACUGCAAAGUUAGAAAUGAGUGAUAACAAGUUCCGUGUGCGGAUAUUUCAUCAGCCGAGAAUAUUCAAAGCCACUUUUUUAAGAGAUUAUGCUCUGCCUGAUCUCCACAGGCACAUGCGAGCCCUAAACAAAGAACAGUACCAUCUAAAAUUCCAUACCACCAUGAGUAUUGAGUAGUGUAUCCAAACCAAAUCCAUCUAAUGACACAUGGCCUUUCACUGAUGGAGAUCUGUGAAAUCCACUCAUGUCUCGCACCAGCUUUACGCCCAAAUCUUAGAUGUUUUUCCAGAAAUAGGAAAAGGGGAUCGAGCAGGUUGCAGUGGCGGAGAGAAAAAGAAACAAGAAAAGUUGGGGGAAAGUGAUCAAGGUCGAACCUUUGAGCUCGAGAGAAUGGGCGGCGAUCUCGAGAAUGCCGGACACCUCCUUGCCAGCCUCGGCAGCCACGGCGGAGAAGAGAACGGUGGCCGAGCGUCCCCCGUCGCUGAUCUUGGAGCAGAACCACACCGGGGCUGAGUCCUCUCCCGCCGCGCGACCGUGGAGAAGGAGGGAGCCGACCUCCUUCGCUCCACGCACUGAAGACGGCUCAGAUCAGGAACCACUGCUGCGGCCGGCGGUGUGCGGGGCUGAGGCGGAAGCGGGUGGAGGCGCGCCGCUGUCAGGUACGGAUGGAAGAGGGAUGCGGGAGGAGGGGGAGGGGGGAGGCGACUGAGGUGGGAGAAUGAGGAGGAGGCGGCGGCUAGGGUUGAGGACGCGGGCUCGGUUUCCUUUUUUCUUUCGCUGUCUUUCGCUGCUCGCCUUCGCCGCACUAUUGAUCUUUAUAUGUUCAACGUCUUCACCGCACUAUUCAUAGCGACGCGGAAGGCAACGUGAAUGGCUUGGUUCUGUCUAGCACAUCCCUUGACCUUCAUCGGCUGGCCGAGGAGGGAUACAGGGAUGCACGAGCCAUCCCGGAUAUACUUGAUACGACGCCUUUCACGUUAGUAUCACUC